CCUACGGGAGGCAGCAGUGGGGAAUUUUGGACAAUGGGCGCAAGCCUGAUCCAGCAAUGCCGCGUGAGUGAAGAAGGCCUUCGGGUUGUAAAGCUCUUUUGUCAGGGAAGAAACGGUGGAGGUUAAUACCUUCUGCUAAUGACGGUACCUGAAGAAUAAGCACCGGCUAACUACGUGCCAGCAGCCGCGGUAAUACGUAGGGUGCAAGCGUUAAUCGGAAUUACUGGGCGUAAAGCGUGCGCAGGCGGUUGUGCAAGACAGAUGUGAAAUCCCCGGGCUCAACCUGGGAAUUGCAUUUGUGACUGUACGGCUAGAGUGUGUCAGAGGGGGGUAGAAUUCCACGUGUAGCAGUGAAAUGCGUAGAGAUGUGGAGGAAUACCGAUGGCGAAGGCAGCCCCCUGGGAUAACACUGACGCUCAUGCACGAAAGCGUGGGGAGCAAACAGGAUUAGAUACCCUGGUAGUCCACGCCCUAAACGAUGUCUACUAGUUGUCGGGUCUUUAUUGACUUGGUAACGCAGCUAACGCGUGAAGUAGACCGCCUGGGGAGUACGGUCGCAAGAUUAAAACUCAAAGGAAUUGACGG
rnacentral:rRNA from 1 species